UAGGGAAUCUUCGGCAAUGGACGGAAGUCUGACCGAGCAACGCCGCGUGAGUGAAGAAGGUCUUCGGAUCGUAAAGCUCUGUUGUAAGAGAAGAACGAGUGUGAGAGUGGAAAGUUCACACUGUGACGGUAUCUUACCAGAAAGGGACGGCUAACUACGUGCCAGCAGCCGCGGUAAUACGUAGGUCCCGAGCGUUGUCCGGAUUUAUUGGGCGUAAAGCGAGCGCAGGCGGUUAGAUAAGUCUGAAGUUAAAGGCUGUGGCUUAACCAUAGUACGCUUUGGAAACUGUUUAACUUGAGUGCAAGAGGGGAGAGUGGAAUUCCAUGUGUAGCGGUGAAAUGCGUAGAUAUAUAGAGGAACACCGGUGGCGAAAGCGGCUCUCUGGCUUGUAACUGACGCUGAGGCUCGAAAGCGUGGGGAGCAAACAGGAUUAGAUACCCUGGUAGUCCACGCCGUAAACGAUGAGUGCUAGGUGUUAGACCCUUUCCGGGGUUUAGUGCCGCAGCUAACGCAUUAAGCACUCCGCCUGGGGAGUACGACCGCAAGGUUG
rnacentral:rRNA from 1 species